AAGAAAUGUUUUGGGAAAUUUGGACCUGUAUAGUCACUGCAGUAAACAUCUAGCACCCAAUCUGCUGCUAUAAUUUCUAAAUUACCAAAAUAAACUGUACACAUCUGAAAAGUAGUGAUC